rnacentral:lncRNA from 1 species
GGAAAAGACAUACAGGCCAUCUUCCCCAUCCCUGAAUAGAAGCUCAGCUCCUGAAAUCGUUUGGGUAAGCAAUUGCUGAUUUUAGUCAAAUUCCCUCACUUCACAAAAAGUGAAGUUUCUGAAAAGUAAUACAGCAGGCAAAGAAAAUCUGCAGGAGACAGCAGAAGGAAAAGCAAUUAUUCUGAAUAAUCUACACAUAAAUUGCUGUAACUUCUCACCUGGAUUCCAGAGCUCUCAUGAAGAAAUAUGAUUUUGUUUGAUAUUUA